AUUUCUCGUGAAUCGAAGGACGCUCGUUCAUCCCGAGCCAUUCUACCGACUAUGAAUGAAUUUUCUGCAUACGCGUUGAGCGACACUGAAAAAAAAUUCUGAACGCCGUACCAAACACGCUGCGCUCUUUCUACGCCAGUUUCUUUGAUAUCCGGAGCUCAGUUAAUAUUAUUUAAUUACGGAGAAAGUUUUAGGUCAGUUAGCGUUAAGCUUUUAACGAGCCUACUAACCCUCGACUGCUAUUACGGAAUCAUAGAUAACUAUAACGUUAGAUAAAUGAUAGGCAACGAUUUAUUAUCUUCUCUUUAGUUAAAAAUAACGAUAUUACGUUAGAUGGAUGCUUUUUAACGAUUAUAGUUGAAUUAGGUCGCUUAGUUUUAAAGCGUCUAAUCUUAAUUUGUAUUUUCUAUCUCCGAUGUUUUCCUAUUUUUUAUUUCAAAUGCAAAUUAAAAGACAGUGUCUCAAAAUUAAGUAACUUAACGCGAGCUGUCGUUAGUCGAUGUUGACAUAUAAAACAUUUCAAUAAACUGCAUCAAUUUAUUAUCGAAUCAUAGAUUACAUGGCUGAUAUAUAAAGAUGGAGCAAGUUUAUCGUACAUUUAUGAUGUGUUAGGUAGACGACCGUUAUAGCUAUUCAUACGAUGCAGAGAGUAGCUAGUUCCUAUUCUAUCAGUUUGAGAUUAAUCAUUCAGCAAGAACAAGCUUCGAUCAUGGAACAAAGAAAGGAAGGUAAUGUUUCUGCAUAAUAAACGCGAGAUGAAUUUUACAUUUCGUGCAUCAUUGAAUUCAAAUUGCGAUAUUACCAUUUAAUGACUGCGUAUUACUCAUAAGUAAUUGAAAAAAUCUAUUCAAAUGGCUUCUUCGUUUCGUUAGAACUAUAUCCGUGAUCAACAAUUUUAAUUGAUCGAUUAUAUGAUGUGUCUUCCAAAUUGGUAUCCUUGCACGUAUAGCGCACGUAUUUCAGUUUUAAGGUCAAUGAUGAAUUAUGUAUCAAUCGUUAAAGCACUUCUUUUAUUAUUGUUGUAUCAUUUUCUUACAAGGAAAAGAACGUUAAGAUAUUGCAAUCAACAUAAUGAAUUCUCUAAACACUCAUCGCUCUAUUUUUUAAUGUUACUCUAUCAUCUGCUCAAAACAGGAAACAAUAGAAUAUUCUGAUCAGUCUAAUAGAUUUUAGCUUCCAUUCCUUCUUGACCAAGGAAAAUAAAAAGAACAUGGUAGCAAGCAGAGACAACGUUUGUAACUUACAUGUUUUCUAACUUAUUUGUUUUACCAUCUCCUCAAGAAGCUAAAAAAAGAAAAUCGAACAAAAAUUAAUUAUUCAGGCACUUUAUUCUUCACUUUGUUUUGACGAGGGAAGGUCUUUGUUUGAAACAAGAAGAAGAUAUUAUCGACGAAUACUUCCAUAUCAGAUACUAAAUAGAACUUAGUUAUUUUAUCCCGUUGGUAAAAAAAAAAAAAAAAAAAAACGAAGACAAUUGCCGAUGAACUUGCUAAAUCGUUUAAACACUCCAUCUUCUACUCCGCUUCGAGCACAAAAGAUAGGAUGAAAAUUUACCGACCAAAGACUUCCGUAUCUCACAAUUACAACUGAAUUAUCUUAUCGUGUCUGUAAAACAAAAACAAAGAAAAUUACUCAUGAACUUGUUAAAUCAUUUAAACACUUCACCUUCUAUUAUGUCCCGAGCGAGAAAAAUCGGAAGAAACUAAGAAGAAGAUACUCAUAUCGUGCGAGAUGCACGUGAUUUGUAACCUGAAAUGGAAAAGUACUAAGUACUCGUGUGGCGGAUCAGCAGUUUUAUCGGGGUUAAUGCAGACGUCAACGACUCGAUUAGACGCUUGCAAUCUUCGUCAUCGUUGUCCGACACGGAACAGCACAAAGGCUUUUAUGGCAAAUAGUAGAAGAAUCGACACGGAACAGAUGUUGGCCAGACGGAAGAAGCGUGAAAGAAGCAGAGGACGAGGCAGGAAGGCGUAGGUGGUUUAGCUGCGAAUUAAUCCUCCGAGAAAGAGAGCAGGUGUCGGCCGUAUUUCCGGAUAGCGCGACGUUCGACUCUUCUUUCGUGGAAGAAUUCGAAACACCACUUUGCCCGCCACCUACGUGUUCUCCCACGAGCAAACCGUACAUGGGAUUUCAACGAUUGUUCAUCACGUUCUUUCCACAUAUCGAUACGUUAUAAUUGGAUUUGUCUCUCCGUUUUGAUGAAACCUAUUUUUCGAAGCAUUUUUGGCUCACAGCUGGAAUGCGUCGGCUUUCAACGUGAUGAUUUAAUAUUUAGGGAAUUGUUUAUUUUUACAAGCAUGUCCAAUCUUUUAUUAAAUUCGUCCCAGUUUAUUUUUCUUUUCAUUAAUUCGUUACCAUUCGAUCGGUGUUUUAUUCGAAUUACACGAAUCGAUUGGCGUUUAUUAAUAUUUAAGUAGCAUACUUAUAGAAAACUUCUAAUUAAGAAGUAACCUAGUUCAUGGUUUGAGAUUGAGAGUAACGAAAUUUAUUCUUACGGUUACUUGAUUUUUCACCGACGAAGAAAUCAGUCGAAAGCAGGAAUAGAUGAUUAUGAUGCCGUAUUAUAUUCUAUGAAUAGAACGAAUGCAAUUGAACGUUCUAGCUAUCGUCUAACGUCUUAUGGAGAAACGAAGACUCCUUAAUCGAUCGAUUUCUUUCGUGAACCAGGAAUGAUAUUUACCUUAAACUUAGCAUCUUAAUUCUUGGCAAAAAUCUUCCUUCAAUCGUAACAAGUGUAACGUUGAAUCUAUCUGUAGAGGAUGAUUGGUCGUAAGGUUUAAAUGACGAGAUAACUCGAUGUUGAAACCGUCAAAUAUAUUUUAAAAAUAAUUAAUAAAUACAAAGUCAACCAUAGAUUGCUAAAAUAAUAUUCGCUAAGAUGUUCGGUACUAACUGAUUCGCUAAAAUCGCUCGAGACUGAGACUGAGAAAAUUGAAGAACCUUACGAUCGUGUUCGUUUAUUUACGCUGGUCGGAGAAUACCGGAAAAUUUAAAUUCGUCUUUGUUUGACGGUUGCACGUAGCGGCGACAUUGUUUUGCCCGAAGUUUAUUUAUUAUUACAUUAAGUACGUCCUAACGAUGUUGAUACUCCGAGGCAAAACAACAUGAUCCAAAUUGUCUUCUAACUUAUGUGCCGCUACCUAUCUGUUGUUAAAAAUGUUCAGAAUUGGUCGAACAAUGUGGAGCUUGAAGAAUUUGAAAAUUAUAGAGGCGUUUGCUGGAAAGAGAAAGCGGCGAUCACGAACUAAUGUUUGUGUUUCUAUUCUCGUAAUCCUGGGCCUUUCUCCCUUUUCCGCAGGAAAGAAAAGAGGCCACGCGUUUCCGGUUUUCUCGGGAAGAUUGUCUAAGGACGAACCGCUCCUUUUACGCGUCGCGUCGCGUCAGCAUCGUUGUACAACAACUGCCUUGAAUAAAACUCGCGGACGUACGAGCCGCUCGAAUUCUUCGCGAGUCGUUGUCUCGCCUCGGUGACACCGUGUGAAAGGCAUGCUCGACUCGUUGAACGUAUCAGAUAGCAAUUUUUUAAACGAUGUUCGAGAAAAUUGCCUCGUUAUUUCGAGCGUUGCUAUUUUAAUCGAGAGAAAAAGGUGGCUGAUAAGUCGAAUACUUAGAUAAUUGUAUUGUCAAGUUAUCGAAUAGUAGAAUUUAAAAUUUAAUAUUUUCUUUAUCGUUUGCU